UGGAGCUUUUUGGCCCCACACAAAGAGAGAGAGGAACUCAGUGGAUAGAGACAGCUAUAGUGAAGGAAGGGUCUAAGUUACUUCCUAGAGGGAAGGAAGACUGGAAAGGGAGAACACAGGUAGAGGCAGGAAGUCCAGUUAGACAGGGGUAACAGCUUGAGCAAUCGUGGAAAUGAAAUGCAGGAAAAGCAUAGAGACCAGCAGACACCUGAGGGCAGACUUGAAGCAUGCCAGGGGAUGCCUCCUUGCUGUGGUCUUGACCACCUAUGACCCUUCAUGGAUGGUGGAAGUUGCCUACCAUGGUUAUGGGGAUGCAAGCCUGGUAGCGCUUUUGCCUUUCCCUCAUCCAUUCCACAGCUAUUAAUUGGAAUUCUUUUCGUUCUGCUUCUGGCUAAACCGUUCUUGAUAACUGAAGUAUAUCAACCCAGAACAUGGUUUUGUGCUUAAAAACCUCACUCCGAGAAAGACUCAG
rnacentral:sRNA from 1 species